AUUGAACGCUGGCGGCAGGCCUAACACAUGCAAGUCGAACGCGUGGCGGACAGGUGAGUAAUGUCUGGGAAACUGCCUGAUGGGGAGGGGUAAAUACUGUGAACAGUAGCUCAUACCGCGUACCCUCCGAUGUGCCCAGAUGGGGUUAGCGAGUAGGUGGGGUAACGGCUCACCUAGGGGACGAUCCCUAGCUGGUCUGAGAGGAUGACCAGCCACACUGGAACUGAGACACGGUCCAGACUCCUACGGGAGGCAGCAGUGGGGAAUAUUGCACAAUGGGCGCAAGCCUGAUGCAGCCAUGCCGCGUGUAUGAAGAAGGCCUUCGGGUUGUAAAGUACUUUCAGCGGGGAGGCGUUACCCGCAGAAGAAGCACCGGCUAACUCCGUGCCAGCAGCCGCGGUAAUUC
rnacentral:rRNA from 1 species